rfam:Pontibacillus halophilus JSM 076056 = DSM 19796 strain JSM 076056 contig83, whole genome shotgun sequence.
UCUGGUGACGAUAGCGAAGAGGUCACACCUGUUCCCAUGCCGAACACAGUAGUUAAGCUCUUCAGCGCCGAUGGUAGUCGGGUUCGCCCCGCAAGAGUAGGACGUCGCCAGGC